AGCCAUCCUUUAAAGAAAGCGUAACAGCUCACUGGUCAAGCGCUCCUGCGCGGAAAAUGUAACGGGGCUUAAGUGAUACACCGAAGCUGCGGAUUCGAUCUUUGAUCGAGUGGUAGCGGAGCGUUCCGUAGGCCGAUGAAGGCAGACCCGCGAGGGCUGCUGGAGGUAUCGGAAGUGAGAAUGCUGACAUGAGUAGCGACA
rnacentral:rRNA from 1 species